AUUAUAUCUAAUUUGGAUGGAGAGUUGAGACAUAUUGACACUCAUACCACAUCUGAUUAUAUCUAAUCACACGCACAUUAAGAUAUGUUUUAACCGUUUAAGAUGAAAGUAUUUGCUGCUUUAAUGAAUGUAUUUGUCUAUCUCUAAUCAUUGAUCUCUUUACAUCUGUUGUUUACAUAUACUGCGAGAUUGUUUUGUGAAAUUGAUAGCUGUCGUACGAAUAAAAAAAGUCUGAUGUGAUUGUUGUACAUGACCUGCUUACCAUCCGAAAUACAUGAGAUCACCCACAGUUUUUGUGAGGUUCGUGUUGCUUAGUCUUUAGUUUUCUAUGUUGUGUCUUGUGUACUAUUAUUGUUCUGUUUGUCUUUUUAUUUGUUAGCCAUGGCGUUAUCAUGGCGUAAUCAGUUUAUUUUCAAUCUAUGAGUUUGACUGUUCCGCUGGUAUCUUUCGCCCCUCUUUCAUAAAUUGGAAGUAAAGUCUUCGUGUUCUGAUACUUAAAUGCAAAAUAAUUUGAAUAUGAUAGAAGUAUUAAAACUAAUAUAUGUUACGUACCUCUUAGAAAAUGAAAAAAAAUGCACCAAGAACUGUGUAAUAUUUUCAAAUAUUAUUUGCAUAUCAUCGACAUGUGACAAAGUAUUCACUGUAGCAAAUUAGCUAUCUUAAAGAUAUAUGUUUAUUAUACGAAUCUGUCGAAUUAAAAGCACACAAUUUUAUAUAUACAUAAAGUUGAAAACAACAGCAAUAAUUCGAGUAUCAUAUACGUUAUAUCAAUAAAGCGAAUUGCGUUAAAUAAGCGUUUAAUAAGCGUAUGGACGUGUACAGACGUUGGAUACACUAUUACAAAAACAAUGCGAAUUGUUAUUUAGUAAGCCUCUACGGCAACAAUUUUAUGAGAUAAAUUUCUCUAAAGAAUUAUAAAUGUUUUAACAAAACAAUAUUCAGAGUUGCAGUAUAAACCAACUGUUUUAAUUCGACCGCCACUGAAACAUCUGAAAUAGACAAACCGUCAGUUUGGCGUGUCAAUGACCAGUACGUUCUUUAUAUUUACACCUGUUUUACAUACAAACGCUAUUCAAAAAUGAACAUUGUCAUUGAUGAGAUCUUUCAUAAAAUUAAUAAAAAGUUGUUCAUAUCUUUAUAUCUGUGUUUUUGCUAAAUAAUUUUUCCGCAUACUUUAUAUCGUAGUUAAAUAAUAA
rnacentral:lncRNA from 1 species